rnacentral:rRNA from 1 species
AUUGAACGCUGGCGGCAGGCCUAACACAUGCAAGUCGAACGGAAACAGGAGACAGCUUGCUGUUUCGCUGACGAGUGGCGGGGGGGUGAGAAAUGUCUGGGAAACUGCUUGAUGGCGGGGGAUAAUUACUGGAAACGGUAGCAAAUACCGCAUAACGACGCAACACCAAAGAGCGGGACUUACGGGCCGCUUGCCUGUCGAUUAGCCCAGAGUGGAUUAGCUAGUAGGUGGGGUAACGGCUUACCCAGGAGACGAUCCGUAGCUGGCCUGAGAGGAUGACCAGCCACACUGGAACUGAGACACGGUCCAGACUCCUACGGGAGGCAGCAGUGGGGAAUAUUGCGCAAUGGGCGCAAGCCUGAUGCAGCCACGCCGCGUGUAUGAAGAAGGCCUUCGGGUUGUAAAGUACUUUCAGCGGGGAAGAAGAGAUUAGUGUGAAUACCUUCACUCAUUGACGGUACCCGCAGAGAAAGCACCGGCUAACUCCGUG